AGAGUGAACGCUGGCGGUAGGCCUAACACAUGCAAGUCGAACGGCAGCACAGUAGGAGCUUGCUCUUACGGGUGGCGAGUGGCGGACGGGUGAGGAAUACAUCGGAAUCUACCUUUUGGUGGGGGGAUAACGUAGGGAAACUUACGCUAAUACCGCAUACGCCCUUCGGGGGAAAGCCGGGACCAGCAAUGGCCUGGUGCUGAUAGAUGAGCCGAUGUCGGAUUAGCUAGUUGGUGAGGUAAUGGCUCACCAAGGCGACGAUCCGUAGCUGGUCUGGAGAGGUAUAGAUCGAGCCCAACACGUGGAACCUGAGACCGACGGUCCAGACCUACCGUACGGGAGCAGCGAGGUACGGGAAUUAGUUAGGAACAAGGUCGGG
rnacentral:rRNA from 1 species